rnacentral:rRNA from 15 species
UACAACUAACUAAGAACUGGAGCGGACAAGGGGAAUCCGACUGUUUAAUUAAAACAAAGCAUUGUGAUGGCCCUCACGGGUGUUGACACAAUGUGAUUUCUGCCCAGUGCUCUGAAUGUCAACGUGAAGAGAUUCAAGCAAGCGCGGGUAAACGGCGGGAGUAACUAUGACUCUCUUAAGGUAGCGAAAUGCCUUGUCGUCUAAUUAGCGACGUGCAUGAAUGGAUCAACGAGACUCCUACUGUCCCUACCCACUAUCUAGCGAAGCCACAGCCAAGGGAACGGGCUUGGCCAAAUCAGCGGGGAAAGAAGACCCUGUUGAGCUUGACUCUAAUUUGACAUUGUGAAAAGACAUAGGGGGUGUAGGAUAGGUGGGAGCUUCGGCGCCAGUGAAAUACCACUACCCUUAUUGUUUUUUUACUUAUUCGAUGAAGCGGAGCUGGGUUUUACCGCCCAACUUCUAGUUUGAAGGUCCUUCGUGGGCCGAUCCGGGUUGAAGACAUUGUCAGGUGGGGAGUUUGG